GAUGAACGCUGGCGGCGUGCCUAAUACAUGCAAGUCGAGCGAACAGAUAAGGAGCUUGCUCCUUUGACGUUAGCGGCGGACGGGUGAGUAACACGUGGGUAACCUACCUAUAAGACUGGGAUAACUUCGGGAAACCGGAGCUAAUACCGGAUAACAUUUGGAACCGCAUGGUUCUAAAGUGAAAGAUGGUUUUGCUAUCACUUAUAGAUGGACCCGCGUCGUAUUAGCUAGUUGGUAAGGUAACGGCUUACCAAGGCGACGAUACGUAGCCGACCUGAGAGGGUGAUCGGCCACACUGGAACUGAGACACGGUCCAGACUCCUACGGGAGGCAGCAGUAGGGAAUCUUCCGCAAUGGGCGAAAGCCUGACGGAGCAACGCCGCGUGAGUGAUGAAGGGUUUCGGCUCGUAAAACUCUGUUAUUAGGGAAGAACAAAUGUGUAAGUAACUGUGCACGUCCUGACGGUACCUAAUCAGAAAGCCACGGCUAACUACGUG
rnacentral:rRNA from 1 species